rnacentral:rRNA from 1 species
UACGUAGGGGGCAAGCGUUGUCCGGAAUUAUUGGGCGUAAAGAGCUUGUAGGCGGUCUGUCGCGUCUGCUGUGAAAAUCCGGGGCUCAACCCCGGACUUGCAGUGGGUACGGGCAGACUAGAGUGUGGUAGGGGAGACUGGAAUUCCUGGUGUAGCGGUGAAAUGCGCAGAUAUCAGGAGGAACACCGAUGGCGAAGGCGGGUCUCUGGGCCGAUACUGACGCUGAGGAGCGAAAGCGUGGGGAGCGAACAGG